CAUGUAUUCAUCCUCCACUAGUUAACCAGCUACUCCCUCCGUUCCAAAUUACUCGACGUGGUUUUGGAACGGAGGGAGUAGCUUUCUUCUCCAUGGUUGCUCCAGACAACAAUCGUAGGGCUACAAGAACUCACAAUUUAUUAAAAAAUGAUGGUCUCCUUGAGGAACUUAUGCUCCAGUCAUGCAGGCCAUUUACAAGGUGGGCGAACUCCCGGCCUCCGGCCGCGGCGGCGGCGCCGGCGCCGUGCGUUUCAGUUUCACACGCACGACUGACGGCUGAGCUGGCCGGCGCGAGCAGCCGGAGGACUGCCGUUCUUCAUGGAUCGUUACAGUUUUUUUAUUAAUAACAUAAUUAAGGCAGAUGAAAGAGAGUAUUUGGAUUAAUAACAUAAUUAUCUUGCUUUGGGUGGUGCAAGGUGUGCAAGUUCAAUAUAGACCACCCAAGAAUCAGCUAUGGAUAACGGCAGUCCGGGUUGAGACCGAGGAAACGCCCUGUAAGAGCAUGAGACCGGUGGAAAUUAAACAUGUCCUUUGUGCCACACCUCUGGUUGAUCAAGUCGAAGGAAUUGAUCAGGAGGAAGUAACCAGAACCACAUGCUUUGGGGUUUCUUCCUGAUUCGGCAGAUUGAUGUGGAGCAAGCAUUUAUUAGUACCCUAUUACCUUAUGCUUUAUUCUCUCAUUUGACCAGUGACAAAGUGAACUUGUAUGCAAUUUAUUAGUACCCUAUAUUACUCAAUGCUUUAUUCUCUCAUUUGACCAAGUGACAAAGUUAACUUGUAUGCACCUUGUUUGUGAACUUGUAUGGUGAACUAUGCACCUUCUUUGUUUGUGAACUUUAUGCACCUUGCUUGGAACUUUUGGUGGACAUUGAGGUAUGGGUUCGGCUCCUCUACAGUAAUGUUAUUACUCUA